ACUGAAACAAAUAAGACAGUCCAUCAAAUUUGUAUUCAAAAGUUCUAUUAACAUUUAGAUUUAUAGAGCAGGGUGUGGUGGCACAGGUCUUUAAUCCCAGCACUUGGGAGGCAGAUGCAGGUGUAUAGCUUGGUGAGUUCCAGGCCAGCUUGGUUUAUAUAGUAAGUUCCAGGAUAGUCAGAGCUAACUAGAAAGGAUCUGAGACCUUCAUACCUGGUCAUUAAACCUACAUGUUUGCUUGUUUUUCUUUUUUAAAGGAAGAAUAGGUAACAAUAAAAUCGAAUGAAUGCUUAACUGAUUAAAGGGAAAGACUCAAGACUUUUGUAAAUCAGUUGCUGUAUUUACGGUAUUUACUAUAUUCCCUAAUAGUACUCUACUACUAUAGUAAGUACCACACGUUGCUUUACUUAGCACAUAGUAUGUGCUACAUGUUAAAAUAUUUACUGAGGUAUUUAGAAAGAACUAGGAGUAAAAUUGUGAUUAUAUUAUGUGAUGAAAGGAUAAGUUAAUGCCAGGUAGACAGAAGGGUCAGUUCUCAUCUACAUGGUACAGGAGGAAGGGAAAUGGAAAAGAAAGCUUAACUCUUUAGCUGACUCUCCUCGAGGAAAACGAGUCUGGAGCAUCCUGCUGGUCACGAGGCAGUUAAAGGUCAAGCUUUCUUUUUUCUGCCACUGCCAGCUCACUUACUUUUAGCUUUCUCUUCCCAGUCUCCCCACUCCCGAUGAAAACUGUCAACUCUAUGGUUAUGAAGUACAAGAUGAUCAAAUGGUCACUAACUGCUGGAGAAUAAGAUGGCCAAGUUGGCCAAUCGCAAGUUGCUGGCCAAUGAAAUAUAUUCAAGAAGUGUUCUGAGACCAUCAAAUCCCACCAUAUUCUUUCUGAUUUCCUUCUGGACAAAGAGAAACGAGGAUAAGAAACUUUUUGGGGGGUGGGGCGGGGUUGGGGUCCAUUCAUGGAUGUCUGUCUUCAGGACAGAGGAUGACACCAACAGUUCUCAAUGACUGCUCCUGCUCUUUUGAAGCAGGUUCUCUCCCUGAACCUAUGCCUCACGGAUGGCCUAGACCGGAUGUCCUUCUAGGAACCCACUACAUCUGACUGUGGAGGUAGAACGCUGAAGCUUUCACACUCUUUCCUCUCAAAGAAGAAAGGCCAUUUUAGUUACACAAAACGUGCUGCCUUGAAACUAGAAGUAGUUUACAUUAACUUUCACCCAGCAAAGAGAACUUACUUUUUCCUUCAGUAUGUGUAUAACUGCUCAGUAGUGUGCCCCUCUGCCUCCCGCAGUGGCUUGGAAGUGUCACUUCACUUUGGCUGUAUGGAGGUGAGGGGCCAAGCUCCUUGUUAUCAUGCCCUUACGAUGUCCCCUCUAAGGAGAAACCAUCUUUGUGUGGCAGGCCUGGUUUUUAAAUUUAAUUUAAUUUUUUUUCCUUUGAUGACUACAGUAGCCCACUGAGAAGAGGCAGCAUGUUUACACAGACUGCCCUGCUGACUGCUGGAGGAGAAAUUCCCUCCCACUUCUCCAGUUCCCAAGAGCCAGAGCCCAUAAUGGAACUUCUAGUUCACUCGGCACUGCUGGUUUAAAGAAAGACUUCAGGCUCUGUUGGCUUGGAAACAGUAUUUCUGAAGUUGUGCAGCCAGCAGAUUUCAAGACUUAUAUUUCUGUCCAGAUACACGCAUAACUUCUAAAAUUAAAGGCUGAAACUUGUGGGCUGGAGAGACUACUCAGUUGAUUAAGUACUUACUGUGCAAGGAAAGGACGUGCAUCAGAUGCUCAGAACCCAUAAACAUUUGCACACAGGUGGGACGUCCCAGGCUACGAGGGCAGAGAAAAGCACUGGACUUGCUGACCACCUCUGGGCUGUUACAGGUUUGUAAUCUCAGCUCUUCUGGAGGCUAAAACAAAAGGAUUCCUUCCAAUUCAAGGCCUGCCUGGGCUCCAUUGUGACUGCAAGGCUAGCCUGGGCAAUGGAGCAAAGCUGCCUCAGAAUAAAAGUAGUUUAAAAUGGGCUGAGAAGAGCUUGUGAGAAAGUGCUUGUCUAGUAUAUGCUAGGUCCUCGAUUCAAUGCCAGCCAGGCUGUUAGGGAUCCCUAAUCUCUGAACUUGCUCUUGGUCCUUUUUCUUUUACUUUAAAGUUAGCUUAUUUAUAUAUUGCACAGGAAUGUGUGUAUGUACUUGCUUGUGCAGGUAUCUUUGGGGGACAGAGGUUGAUGUCAGUUGUCUUUUUCUGCUAUUCUCCACCUCAGUUUUGUUUUUCUGAGACAGGGUCUUUCCUGAACUUGGAGCUCACUGUUUAGGCCAGAUGUGCUCCAGUGCUGGGGUUACAGUUGUAUGCUUGCCAUGCCUGCUUUUCUACCUUGCUGCUGGGGAUAAGCAACUGUGAAAACCACUGCAAGAGAAGCUGCUGUUAACCUCUGGAAUCCAAGGGUCUGUUCCACAUACAUAAUACAGAACGUUGCUCUACGGGUGUGGACAAACAAAGCACGGAUGCUGAAAAGCAAGAGAUAUCAAAGACUCACCCGCUGUACUCACUCACACAGUUCCCCAUUGAGGGACAUUUUCACAGGAUCUCCUCAAACCUGUCAGCCAUGUUCUGAAGCCGACCGAGCAGAGGCCACUGAGCUCCGAAGAGUUCCAAGCUGUAUAAGCUAGGCCAAGAUACUCGAAUCCUGUCCCUCAGUCACACCUACUGCACCUUGACCUUUACUAUAGGGGCUUGGUCUUGGAAAGCUGCCAAAUUACCUUUGGGGAGCUAAGCAUGAAAGCUAGAUUUAUUAACCCUUUGGGGAGCACAGGGCAGCACAGACUAUGUAACAGGUUAGAAUGCACUGGUACACAAGGUUACCAGUUAAAAUAACUGUCAACUAUAGAAAGCUAUGCAACAGCUUUAUGAAUUUGUAAAUGUAUGCUGAAAUGUUUAAUCUGCAUUUACAGCGACAGUCUUAAAAGGAGUAAGAACUUUAAAGACGCAUCAAUGAUAUGUCAUGUCUUAAUGCUUGGCAGAAGCUCUUCGUAGUCUUAACGUAGUAAAAGAGAGGGAAAAGAGAGGUUCUAAGAGUUGAAAUGUAGGCAGCACUACAGAGACCAAAGUCUGAAGAACUGAGGCAGCAUGAGUAAGAGCGGCUCAUUCCUUAAGUAUAAACAUUGGAAGGAGACAGAGCAGCCAGGAGAAGACGGGAAAACCUGCCUCUUAGUGUCGGAGUGGGCACAGUAAUUGCAUAAAGGAGUUCGAAUCAUUUAUUUAGAAAACAAAUGAUCAAAAUAAUCAGAAAAUCUUCUCAAAUUCUAAAGUGAUCUUUUAUAUAGGCUUUAUCUCCUGACAGGACGUCUCACCACCGAUUCACUGGGAGACGUGUAAUGUGAUGGAACACUUGUGUGGAAAUUAGACGCUGGCUGUUUGUUUUCUUAGCACUUUGAUCUUCUGAACUAAUGACUCUAUGAGGGAGGAAGGAGAUAAAAGACGAUGAAAAUUCGCCGUCUCAUUCAAGAGACGUGUAGGGAAAGUCCUACAAAAUGAAAAUCAUGAAGAAUAUAAUUUGAAAGUCUUAUUAGAGGCUAACAUGUGUUGAAAUCAUAAAAUAAUGACCAACUAGGUAUUUUUUCAAGGUAAGUAAAUUUCAUAUUCAUUUUUAUAAAACAAGACUAUGUUUAAGUAAUGAAUGGCCUGUGAGCUUUUUAUAGUUCUGCUAUUUAAAUUCCUUUCAAAGAGUCUCUAGUCCUGUAACAGAAGGUGGAGAGUUUGUAAUAACUAUGCUAAUGAUAUCUAAGUCCUUAAUCUUCAGGUUCUGUCAAACUGGCUUAGCCUCUCUGUGGCCCAUCAGUACUCAUUGUAUUUUCAUAAUGGAAGGUGAUGUGCAUCAAACUGCACAGACAGCUCUUGGGAUCCUUGGGUCCUAUGUGCUCAGAUAGAAAAUAUCCAGGAAAAAAGUGGACCAAUAUUGAACAUAUACACUUUAUUUCUUCUCUCUAUCCCCUAAACAAAGCAGAAAAAUACUAGUCACACAGCAUUUACAUUGGACUAGGCUAUGUUAAGUGAUAAAGAAAGAAGUUAAAGUCUAUAAAGAGACAUGCAUGGUGGGACACUUCAGGAAGACCAGCCCUCAGAAAGCUGAUGCAGAAGGACUUGAACUGGGCUGGUGAGAUGGCUCAGUGGGUAAGAGCACCCGACUGCUCUUCCGAAGGUCAGGAGUUCAAAUCCCAGCAACCACAUGGUGGCUCACAACCAUCCGUAACGAGAUCUGACUCCCUCUUCUGGAGUGUCUGAGGACAGCUACAGUGUACUUACAUAUAAUAAAUAAAUAAAUAAACAAAUCUUUAAAAAAAAAAAAAAAAAAAAAAAAAAGAAGGACUUGAACUGAGAGUUCAAGGCCAGAUUAAGUUACAUAGUGAGUGUAAGGUUUGCCUAGGUUGGAUGACCAGAUUCUGUCUUAAGAAAAAAACAAAACAAAAUGUCUACAAGAGGUUAUAUGUAGAGUAAACUCUAUAUCAUUUCACAGAGAGACUCAGGCAUCCAAAGAUUUUAUUUUGGUAUCCAAGGAAACCUUGAAACCAAACCCCAGCAGAUCCUGAGGGAUGACUAUACCUAAAAAUCAUUCACCAACUUUUCAUUAAAGAGUGUUUUUUAAUUGCAAUUUGCUAUGUUUGACCUACCACUUAAGAAACUGUCAUAUUUACUAUGGAGAUUACUCCUCUGAAUUUGUAGAAUGAUUGUAAGGUGUUCAAAAGCAAGAGACACACUGCUACAGAUCUGUUAUCUAAUAAAUCCCUUGAAGGUUAAAUCUCAUCAGUCUGCAAUAUUCAUACAUAAUUCAAAGUUAUGGAAACAAUCUCCCAUGUGAAGACUCGCUUGCUUUACCCAGGUGGUAGGAUUAAUCAUUAUAGCAUCAAAUGAAAUAAUCUUUUUUUUUUCCUGGAAAAUUUGUUCAAGACAGAUUUUUGUAAGAAUUCUGUUAAAUGUCUGAAUGUAUCUUUUAACAGGCAAAUCAAAUUUUCCAUCAGUACAGAUUAAAGGCCUUUCUGUAUCUAAAUAUUUCCAUAAUUUUAGUUCCACUUUAAGUUUCAAAUGCAACCAUCUUUGUUCAGCUUCAGAAGGGGCAGUUAAUGAAACCAGAAUGCUACUGAGACUGCCUGUCUCUUGGGCAAACAGCAUUCUUUAUUUUACCUGUCAGCUUUCUUCAGCUGCUACAGAUGUCUCUACGUGAUCAAAACCAACAAUAAAUGGAUGCAAUUUUUAAAGACUCAAAUUCCUAAAAUCCGAACAUCAGAGGAAUGUUUCAUGGUUCUGUCUUUGGUCUCAUGGGCUGUUUACUUCUAGGCUUUCCAGGGAAAGCGGCCUUUGCAGAAGUGGGAUCAGCCAUUAACCUUCAAGGAGAGUCAUCAUGACCCACACCUUUAAAACCUGUUGGUAGGGAAGAGAGGGGAGAACCCAACCAAAGUCAAACUCCAUUUCUUCUUGUAGCUCUACUUUUCAGACCCCCGCCAUGGUGACAUUUCGUAAUGCUACCUUGGUCUCUAAGUCAGCAACUUGAUUUAGCCACAUUUCCCAAUCACUGGCAUUCUCAGGUGGGAAGACAUAUCUAUCGAUCACUAUCUAGUACGUCCAAUUUCCCACUAAGCUUCCAUAGCCUUUGAAACGUCAAACUUCUUAUCCUGAACCGAGAUUAACCUUUAACUGAGAUUGGAUGAGGUCCUGCUGCUGUCUAACAGAAUGUGGUCAAACACAAGGAGUUCCUGCGUGUAAACCAAGUGCACACAGGAUAUGGCAGGCAGGUGCAAAGUCUGGAAAUAGACUCUUAUUUUUUGACACUCUAUGGGGUCCACGUAAAAAGUAAAAACAGAUGUGACAGCUGUUUGAAGUGUUUUCAAGGCCACCACCGAUUGCAUGCCGGCAAAGCAAGGAAGAACACAGGCCAUCAGUAAAUCAGUGUCACCUGCAUAAAACUAAGAAAAGCUAUAGUUUAAAAAGUUAACAGUUUGAAAAUCCUGUGAAAUUCAAAGUCAGAAUGGCAUCUGUGCAAAUGAACAGCAGAUAAAUUCAUUCUUGGAAAAGAUCACUAAAAUAAGGUUGCCGUUCUCAAUGGCUAUCGAAGCUACUCAGCCUGGGUUUGCUCUUGAAGACUAUGGCGAAAGGGAGAGGCAUUGCCUGAAAAGGCAGCCUCUUAGAAGCCAAUGCCCAGCUCUCACCACGAAUACUAGCCUAGGAGGGAUGUCGGGGCUUGCACCAUCUCCAGGCCAGGAAGCACUGGAGACCAGCUCUCCCCUCACUCUUACCUUCCUUUGCUCCAAGAGUCAGAGCAGGGAAGAGUCUGUACAAAUACCAAAUGCAAUGGGAAUGAGUACCGACUGAGACAAAGAGCUCUCAGGACAGUCUACUCAGUGCCGCAUAUGCUGUGCACGUUCCAUGUGACACACCCAAGUGUCAGACAUAGAAGCAAGUCUUCCCAUUUCACAGAUGAGAAAACUGAGGCUUAAAGAAGCAAAUGACCUGCCUGAGGCCACCUGAGUUCAGAGGUGGCAGUGUGGGAAUGUGAAGUGAUGCUGUCCAUCCCUGAUGCCCAUAUUCUUUCUGCCACUCUGGAAGCAUAAGGCAAGGGAGAAGCACACUGUACAGACCCAGUAAAUGCCUGAUUGUAAGGGUGCUUUAAAAGGAAAAUUGCUUUAAUUGAAAUAGAAGGAGGCGAGGUGUAGUUUGUGAAACAAAAAGGAAGGCCAUGGGGUGGGGCAAAGAUGUCAAGAGGGGAGAGAGGACAAAGAGGGUAAUAGAAGACAUGUGACAUAAAUGUAGACGAGGGGAAGAGGGGACCAGCUGGAGAGCAUGGGGUAUGGAAGGAGAGCUGGAGAUGAAGACCAAUAAGAGCAAACUGUAUGAAAAUGUCAUAAUGAAAUCCAUUACUCUGUAUGUUAAUUUAAAAAACUAAUAAAAAUAAUUGAUAAAUUAAAAAAAGAAAUAUGAAGUAAUAAUGAAUACAGAUGUGUUCUAUUUUGAAAAACCCUAAAUAAGCCAAAAGACUAAUUAUUUACAUUGCAAAAGUAUUUUUUCAAAUAGGAGCUGCUCUUGCAGAGAAUGUUCAUAGAUAAUUGUCCUUCUACUAGUAAUCCGCAUUUGCUGGGUACUAGGCACACUGCUUCAAUACACAUCUAACAACAGCACCUGAGGCAGGGUUACUCUCAUAGCAGCAACAACCGUAAUGACAGGAGCCAAAGCAUAGACAGUGUUUAUCAUGUGCCUCUUCUAAACCAUGUUUCUCAGAAGUGGCAUUACUAACAUUUUUGAGCAAGAUAAUUCUGUUGUGGAGAGCUACCCCCACACUAGGAACAUUCCAGUAUUUUCUGCCUUCUUGGCUGUGAUAACCAAAAAAUGUCUCCAGACUUCGUCAACUGUCCUAAGAGAGUACCUCGGUGUUCCUCCUGAGCCCUUUAUAUAAACUCAGUCAUUCUAUACAACAACAUACAGGGUAGGUUAUCCUCUGAUGAAGGGUCCCACCAAAGGCUCAUGUUCAUCAUGCCUGAGAAACGGAAAGCUAAAACUCUUGAGAAGACUAUGGAAAAGGAGGUGAGAAACUGGAGACAGACCAAGCGAGCUGGCAGAGGUCUUACACAGAGACUUCAUUACUAUGGCUAAACAAUGGAAUUUAGCCUUUAGGAGUACUAGGCUAUUUUAAAGAGAAAAAGGGCAAGAGACUGGGCAAGAAGAAUUAGCAAAAUCCUUCAGUAAAUGAGGUAGAAGACACUGUAAGGCAAACCAGAUAGAUGUAAAUAAGAGCAUAGAUGUGGUGUGUAUUUUGGAAGUUUAGUCAGCAGGAGGAAGAGCCAAGAGAAGUACCAAAGAUGAUUCCAUCUUCUGGCACGAACAAAUGGAUGGGUGGUAGGCCAUUUACAAGAAGGGAAGACUUGGAACAGAAUGUACUUAUAGGGAAUAAUCAAAUUCUGUCUUGCACAUGUUUCAUUGGAAAUACACUUUUCAAGUACAUGUAAGUCAUGGGGAAUAUUUGGUGGAUAAAGAUAUACAUUUAAGAGUCAUUAGUAUGUAUAGGUAAAAUUUAACGCCAAUGAUGUUAAGCCAGUAAGACUUAAAGAAUCUCGUUCAGUAUAUGGUUAAGAUUUUGAGCGACACACUGAAAUAAAAGUGAAGCGACUCCUAGAAUUUGCUUCAAUCAUGGGCUAUGGGAAAAGAUGAGGGGUGAAGGAGACAUGAUAUGUAAAUUGAUUUUUUUGUUAAAUUUUUUAUUUUUAUGGAUGUUGUGCCUGCAGGUCUGUCUACUGCAAGUAUGCCUGGUGUCCUUGGUGACCAAAAGAAGGGGCCAGAUCCCCUGGGAUUGGAGUUACAGAUGGUUGUGAGCUGCUAUGCUGUGUGUUCCCAGGCUCGAGAUGGUAAUUGAAUGAUCACACUGCCAUCAAACCAGAAACACAAAUGUUGACAUUUGAUUGUAAUGUUUUCCCUCUCAAAGUUACUUCAAGUAAAUAUCAAUGACAAUCCAAGUAAAUGAGUGAAAAAUGCUGACCUGACAUGCCAAGACCUUCAGUACAUGACUAAAAGGGUAGAGAGGAAGUGGAAGCAAAGCUGCAGGAAGAUGCUUGCAGGAGAUAAAAGACAGUUUCACUGUGGAUCACAAAUAGAAACUCUAUGAGAAGGCUCUUCUGGAGAUAGCAUGAUGAUGAUGAUGACGACGGCUACGGUGAUAAUAAUAAUAUCACUUUCCUGGCUACAAGAAUAGGCAAACUCUUAAGAUAUGAUGUUCUAUUAAUUCAAGAACAGAGCAAAGCAAAGCAUGCUUAAUUUGCAUAUCUUAAAGCUCUAUUACAUGACAGAAGCAGCCCAUUCACUUUUAGCUGUUCACAAUUCUGUUCAGGGGUUACCUCUGUGAUGACUUUUCCUUCUGAUUCCCUAAAUACCACUAUUAUUAUAUCGCAUCAUACUGUAAAAUACAAGUCCUGUGAAGACAGAACUGUGCUAUGUCCUCUUCUUAUUUGCAUCAAUGGACUGCUGAGAAAAAACUAGACCCUGAAGAGAGCAGACUGAACAAAUUCUACUAAGUCCUAGACAUAGGGUCACUUUGCCCAUGAAGACUCACAAUUUUCAAAAGACCCUGGGACAUAUAUGAUACCAUUGGUGCUGCUCUUAGAGUGAAGAAACUGGGAUUUGUCCAAGGCCACACAGAGCCUGUGAAGGCCAGAGCCAGGGUGAGUGAAUGCACCACGUGUAUAUACAAAUGGUACAGGGUGAGCGAAUGUACCACGAGUAUGUAUAAAUGGUACAGUUCAGCUCAGGCAUGGACGACAGAGAAGACAUGUUGUGUACAUCAAAAGAAAAGAAAUGAGGAGAAGAGAGAUGAAGGAACUAAGAAGCAGAGGAAAGGGAAACUGGGAAGAAAAAAGUUCAUUAUUCUACGAAGAGAAACCGGACUUGUAUGAUUUUAGCAAUGCAACCAUUUCUGGAGACUUCACUAUCUAGUGUAACCUGUACUUUGGUAAGUGAUAUUAUAUUUUCAACUACACUAAAAUUUUCCUCCUUUAGCUACAGCAAAGUAAACAAUCUAUUCUGUAAAACAUUUAUAAUUUAAACCUUUAAAGAAGAAAAUGGCAAAUUAGUCAACGUCUGAAUUACACACUACUUUGAGAAGUAUAGAUUGAUUGCUUCAAGAAAAUACUGCAAUGUAACAAGUUUUAAUUAAAAUUAUACUGAAAGAGUAUUUCCUAAACUGGGAUCCAGGGUGUAGUUUUCAAGGGUCUGUGAGUUCUCAAAAUAGGUCAGUAUUGAUCUAAAGUCUCUGUCUAAGACAAGUUAACAGGGACGCGAGGGAUGGAUGGCUCAGAGGGUAAACUGCUUGUUGUGUGAGCAUGUGGGCCUGGGCUCAGAUCUCCAGCACCCACAUAUAAGGCAGGGCUAGCAGCAUGUGCAUGUGACCUCAGCACUGAUUGAACAGGCUGAUGGCUGGAGCUUGCUGGCUAGGCAGCCUAGCUGAAACAACAAGCACAGUGAGAGACCUUAACUCAAAAGCACACACACACACACACACACACACACACACACACACACACACACACACACACACACAAUGGCAAACAAGAGACGGUCACACCUGCAGUCAAUUUCAGGCAUCUAUACGCACACCAAGGAGCACACUCGCCUUCAUACACAUGAGCAUAUCCACACUUAUACUACACAUACCCUCACACAAAUACAUUAACAUAAACAUAUGCUGAGCUGUUAUUACAAAAUGGCCACUUAUAACUAAUAAGCACUAUUUCUAGUCUGCGUGUACAUUUGUGUUUAUAGUCUGAGCUGGCAACAACCACACUAUUAAUAUAAGAAAUAAUGAAGGGACAAACAGGCUCAAUUCUUAUGGAAAUGAUUCAGGAUUUCCAAGUGAAGACGGAAAUGACACCAUGAUAUAAGCCGUAUUUACUGUGCUUUACAAUGUGGGAUUUCCAGUAUGUUAGAAAGGGGUUGGAGAGAUGGCUCAGAGGUUAAGAGAACUCGCUGCUCCCAAAGGACCCAAGAUCUAUCCUCAGCACCCAUGUGGGACAGCGCACGACUACUUCUAGCUUCAGCUGGCCUGCAGGGACACCUAUACCCGACAUUGUGUAUGCUUAUAUAGGUAUAAACACAUGAACAGAAAUAAAAUAGGCCUUGAGAAAGGAAAGAUAGAAAGCUGGCAUAAGACGACCACACUGGGUCUGAUGCUAUAUACCUAUAAUUCUAACACUUAGGGGAUAAUCAAGCUCACACCAGUGACACUCCUUUAAGUGUACACUUAAACUGUAGUGGACGGUGGAAAAGGCAAAGCAAAACAACACAACAAAACUGAACUGUUGCUCUGAAUAGAGAGAGCAAGCAUCUCCAUCUCCUAAAGCCAGGCAAGUGAUUAAAAAUACCUGCACCUUUAAUUUAUAUGUUUUCCAUACAUACUUGACUCUUAACCUUGAGUAAAAAAUACAGUAGGAGCGAUAUGAAAUGCACAGGUGGCUGAAGUGGAUGGGGAGACAACGAAAGAGAAAUAGUGACAACCCUCUAGUUAGCUUUAUUCCACCAUAGAGUAAAAGCAGAAAUCAAAGCUGGCACUGAGGAACUGCAGUUAUAGGGUCAGAGAUGGACAGGAAAGACAGGAACUGUUCCCAGAGGACUCCAGAUGGCUGUGAACACAUGCCCACAGGCCUGCUAGGGUUGUCCUCAAGAAAAACAGCCACAGCCUGGACUGCGAGGACAUGCUGGAUUUUAAUAGAAAAGGAGACAGCCGGUCAGAACAGCCACACCACCUUUCCCAAAGUGUGCUUGCUGGUCUGCACUCUCAUAUUGAUGGUCUUCGUCCCUGCCCUAGGAGGGCAAUGCUGCUGAGGUUCCAGCAUGCCAGGUGGGUGUCUGCCAGUCCUGAAGAAGUGCUAAGCUCAUAGCUCUUAUGCUGAGCAGAGCACUUGGUAUCUCUUCUGUGCCUAUUUUAACAUCCCAUCACCACAAGAACACUUACAAUGCACAGAUAAUGAAGAUCAAAGAUACCUCUAACUACCUAUGUAAGUUAAUCCAAGUUACUCAAACAAUUUUAUGCUUUAUGGACCUAACUUUCUUUUUAAAUGAAGAAAAACUUAAUUCUUUAUAUUAUGAAAAAAAUCAGAAAAUGAAGAUAUAACAACCUUUGUCACUCAAAAACAAAAAACAAACAAACAAACAAAAGCCAAAAUCUUGCUACUUGCCCUUCUGGGUCAGACAUAAGUUGAUUACCCAGACUAAAUGUGCGAUGCCCCAGGUUUGAUUUCUGAUACUGAAAUAAAAAAGGGAGGAAAUCUAAUGAUUUUUCCCAUGGUUUUGUCCAUUUGCAAAUAUUUAAGGAUGCAACAGUCCCAGAAUCUACACUUCUUGCUCCUGUCUUCUGAAACACUUCAGACAACUAGACAACAGCUUCUAGUUACCUGUAGACCUCUCUUCACAGACAACUGACUAGCUUUCCUCCACAAUAUACUCAGUCCUUGGCCAUUUCACAACAUUGGAAACUCUCAGGCUGGGUCAACUCUGAAUGGUCCAUCUCAUGCAAUAGCCAAGUCUUAUUUCAAUGGCUGAAUUUUAGUUUUCUAAUCUACCUUCUCCUUUUGACCCACCUCCUACAAACCAAAUGUGGGUCCUAGAUUUGCUUUUCGAAUGGAAUACUGAGAUGACAUAUUGCUGUUUCCUAAUUUCCCUUUAAAAAAAAAAAGCCCGUUUUGUAUCUUAUUUCUCCAUAAAAUCACAAAGAGGUCUCAGCUGUCUAUAUAAUACACUUGAACUCCAGAGAAUAAAAGGUAAUGCAUGCUCCUGUUACUAUCUUUCAUCUUUUAAAAGCAUCCUUUCCUACAUGUUCACUCCUGUAACACUUGCUCAAAAUUCUACAGACCAAGUCAAAGUGAACUCCCCCGAGAUGGUGCUCAUCUUACUCCUAAAGUGAACUGAUCCUUCCCCGAGUCCCUAUCACAUGCCACUCACAGCUAUUUGUAUAUUUCCUUCCCUUAUUAAUUUUAGGUACUUGAAGGUAAGACAUUUCUCAGUCUAUUAUGGCACUGCUCUGCUUCUGGAAUAGAUAAAUGAGUGGUGUGGAGCUAUCUAGUUUUACUGAAGACAGAAACAUUCAUAUAGCAACAAGGGACUCCCAGCAGCAGAUGGGGAGAUAAAACAUGAAAAUGCAAGCUUGAAAACCCCAAAGCAUUUCAAUACAGGGCAAACAGCCCUAUAUACCUUAAUAGCAUUACCAUAUUCUAGAAUAGCAUUGUGUUGGACAUUGACACUAAUUACAGCGGGCAGCAAAAAAUGUUAAAUUAUGUUUAAUAUGCUAUGUUUAACAAGAAACAAAGCCACAAAAGUGUGAAUAUGUUUUGGAAACAUUUUCAUACAAAUGGUUUUAUUAUUUACAUUUAUUAGAUUAUAAAAUAAACUCAAUUAGAACAACUUUUAAAAAUAGGAGGAAAAGCACUCCAAAUUGUAUUUUGCAUAAAAACCAGGUCACAGCAAAACUAAGUGAUUAUCUAAUUAAAAUGGUUUAAUAUUAAAGAUUUCAAACUCACAAAAGUUAGCCAAAAACCAUUGGUACCUGAUGCUCAUCUCCCCAAAGGCAGAGAGGGGUAGGGUGGUAGAUAUUUACUGUGGUGACACAAAAGUAUCCACUCAUUCUCAUGUCUUAAUGAGUGAAUGGGUUAGGGAGGAGAUGAGGAUGUGAGGGACCCCAUCCACAAAAGGAAGGUAAAAAUGGAGAGUGAGAGACAGGAUCUCCCAGACAGAGCUGUGGGAGGACACCAGGAGGAGCGAGAGGAGAAACAAGCAAUGCCUAGCGCAGGAGCAGACACGUUUACAAAACGGACGGCGCUUCCUUCAUUUUCCCCUCUCUUGACUUUCUUUGUUCUAAUUGACUUCAGGCUGAUGCAUGUACCCUGAGAUGCGUGCUGAAUUCCAAUGAAGUCCUCCUACACGUAUACUUUAUACCAACACAAUCCAGUUAAAAGGAUUUUAAUUGGUGUGCACCAUUCCCUGCAAUUUCAACAUUUAAAAAAUGAAUAGUCUCACUAAGUACCAGAUGGUGACAUGUACUAAUUAAUCAGGACUAUUCAAUGAAUGAGCAUAUUAAAAUGAAUGUACCUAUUAGACAUGUGUUGCUGACGCUCUAUCCUGAGGAAGCGGCUCUGUAAAUGAGCGCCCACGGAAGGUGCAGCCUUACCGUGAAGCUCGCGAGCAUCUCCCACAAUGAUUUGCAGCAGUAAUACCAUCACACUUGUGUUUCCCUCUAGAUCGCUCGAUAUUUCAUGUUAAGCAGCCAUGAGCCCUGCUAUCCCUCCAUAAUCUACUCAACCUCCUUAAGCUAGAGCGACCUAAACACUGACUCUGCAGCUUUCUGCUGUAGAGAAAGCGCUUACAAACUUAUCAAGGUUGGUUUUAAAGGGACAAUGGAUGAAAGAGAUUAAACAGUGUUCUUGAGUCUCCUCCCUUCCUCCUCUGUUUGUCUGCCAGGCAGUGGGAGCCAGAGCUUCCCUACCUGAAGGAGUUACAAAGUACAGGGGCACCCUGUUUGACAGUGUGCAUGGUUGGAUCCUCCUCAAGCACUGUUUGCAGUGGACAGAGGCACAUAACCUAUCGGCAGGUCUCAAAAGAGGGAGAAAUCUUAGAACUCAUUUGUUUUCUUAUCUCCAUUCACGACUCUUCUGUUUUAUCCUUUGUCACCAUCAUUUCAAACAUAUCCUAAUAGAAAAUUGCCCAAAUCUCUCUAGAGUUAUAGGAAACAAUGUCUUCUGGUUUGCUGAAAGCACUAAAACACCAGAGCAGCAGAUUAGAUAAGGAGGCAGUGAACCACGGAGUACCAUGAGGUAAGUUUACUGCCUGGCAUAUAGCGAUCAAUGACAAACAUUAGUCAUCUCCCACAGAAAAUAAGGAAAUGGUGGGGAAAAAGAUUGCUCCUUGAAAAUUCAACUCAUAAGAGGAACUUAACUCUAAAAGAAGUUUCAAUAUGAUCCCUUUGGGGAAUUUAGGGAUUAUGAUAAAAAGUGUGAUUUAGAAGGGUACCUUCAAAGUUGAAGACAAUACACACCACCUUCUAAAAGAAGCCCACAAGACAGAGCUUUGAGGCCCCGGUGCUUGUUUAUGAUGUGUGGCAAUGGCUGUUGCUUAAAAUGAAAGUAUUACCCCAAAGAAUCCUUAGAAGAGUGCAAGCCAAUAAUAGAAACAACAAAAUUUGCAGUUAUAGACCAGAAAAAUCUCCCUAGUGGCAAAGGCAAUUUUUAUUAUUUUCCUUGGGCUCUUGCUUAAAAUCAAGAGGUAGAGUUUAAUACAGCAUUCAAGAAGAAUUUAAUUAGUUUGAAUGUAAUUAAAAGUAAAAUGACAUGAACAUUUUCAUGAUGAGGUUUCUGGGCAAUGAUUGAAUAAUCUUUAAAAAUUCCAUUACUAUGGUUUAAUAAUUUCCGAUAGACCUACUGCUUUCAAAGUUUUGGUCAUAGUAGACAAUUUAAAUGAAAAAUAUUUUGGGGUAGCAUUCAGCAUAGAGUAGGUUUUCUAAGACUUUUAAGUUCUGGGGCUGCAGAAACAGCUCUGCAGGUAAGAGCACGGUGCUCACACCACCUCUAACUCCAGUUCCUGGAGGUCUGACUCUUCCUGGCCUCUGCAGGCACCAGACACACAUGUGAUACCUAAAACUAAACCCAUAUACACAAAAUGAAAACAUAUUAAAAAAAAAACAAGCCUCAUAUUUUGAGAUAAAAUCCAGUAAGACAAAAUAUCAAAACCAAUCAUAUAUCAACUCAAACACAAAACAUAGCUACCCUAAGGAAACAGACCCCUGACUCAGCGAAGGGAAAGCAAUGCCCAAGACAACCUAAGGAGACUAGACAACUUCCAAAUUACUCUAAACAACAGUCUAUUGCAUAACUGUGAAAGUACAAUUGAUAAAUGCACCAUAAAUCUACAAAGGAAGGAGGGAGGGAGGUAAGAUGGAACGAAUGAAUGAAUGAAUGAAUGAGCAAGCAUGAUGGUCCUUGAACACCUGAAUGUGAAGAGUGAUGUGCUGAGCACACCACCACUCCCAGGUCACAGCCAGCUCUCGCCAGAAGACUGCAGUAAGAGUUAAUAUCAAAGCUUUGUCUGACUUGAAGCAACACAGAAGGCAAAAAUAAAUACCAACUCCUACAAAAAGCAGAUGAAUCAGAUGCACACGGGGAACAAGUGUGGUCUAAGUGUGAUGUUUAACAUAGUUGUGGUUGGAAACCCAAAUCCUGCUUCUGUCUUUAAGAUGCAACUCUGAAUUAGUCAUUCAUGUCUUUGGCUAAAUGUCAGGCUACUUCCAAGGUACCUGAUGUUCUUGGAAAGGGGCCAUGAAUAUAUUAAGAUAAAAAUGGACACUGAAUUUUCUCUGAUGAUCAAAUAAAAUAAUGAAGAGACGAUGUUCAGGAUAUGAUGUGUUCCUCGCUGCUCUCUCAUCAACCUAGAGAGAGGUAGGCCUGAUUAUCUCUUUAUGGUAGGGGUUGGGGAAAGAUGU